UUCCAGGAGGCACACAAGUCUUUGAAAUUCUUAAUUUCUUUCAUGCUUUUCUGCAGUUCACCCACAAGUAACAUUUCUCGGAAAAAGCGUGACCAGGUUAAUUUAUUGUGCAUUUGAAUGUCUGUCUUUAUUUUGCCUCAUAUUGGAUCAAUAAUUUGGCUAGCUGUAAACCUUUACAUUCAAAAUAACUUUCUUCAGAAUUUGGAAGGCAUUGCUCCAAAGACCAGCAGCCACGGCAUCACCUAGGAGACCGAUGGGAAUGCAGAAUUCCCCAACCCCGGCAUCUGAAUUAGAACAAGAUCUCCAAGGAUGUACGAGCACAUUGGAAUUGAGAAGCACUGUUCCGUCCUUCAGUCCCGCAGAAAGGUCUGUGGUCAAUCUCUUCUCCCACAGGCGAUAAUGUUACUAAAGUCAACCAAGUGUUAUGGAAACAUCGAUUUGUGACGCUAAAGAAUCUCAGAAUGCAAAGGUUUCCACUGAGCAGUUCAACAGCAACACUGUUGGAAUCACAAACUGCCCUCGCCCCAGGCCAAACUGAGAAGCUGCUGUGCACAUUCAUUCCUCCUCCCCAUGUCCAAGAACACAAAAGAAGCCCUAGAACCAAGCAUCAAAGUCAAGGGUGGUCAACACACUGAACUCCUUGGAAGUGCCUCAAACUCCCUGGAGGAAUUCGGAGAAGUACCGUGAAGUUUGAUAUCAUGGGAGGCUGGAGAUAACAGUGGUGGUGGUUAGAGGUGGUGACUCAUGGGUUGUUCUCCACUGCCUGAGUGCCACCUACUGAUACGAUGUGAUUUGCUAACCGUUUGUUCAUAAGGAACGUUGGUCUCAUAAUGUUUUUGUCUGCUUGUUGGUGUCAGGAUAAUACUCAUAAAAUGGUUUGAAAAGUUUUCUCUUCUCCUUUAUUUUCCAAAAGGGUUUGUGUAAAAUUGGUAUGUUUUCUUUUCUUAAAUAUUUAAUGGAUUUCACUAGUAAUGCAAGAUAGGGAUAUUCAUAUUGCUAUUUCUUUUUGAGUCAUUUUUGGUAAUAUGUAUCUUUCAAGAAAUUUGUCUGUUUCAUAUAUGUUGUAUAAUGUAUUGGCAUUACAUUUUUAUUUAUUUUUUUAUUUUUAGUGUUUUUCUUCUCAAUUUAAUAGUUCUCUAUUAUCAUAUUUAGUGUAGUUUUUUUUGCAUUUCAUUAUGAAAAAUUUCGAACAUACAGAAAAUUUGAAAUAUUUGUACAGAGAACCCUCAUAUACCCAUUAACUAGAUUCUAAAGUUGACAACAUUUUACUAAAGUUGCUUUAUCACGUAUCUAUCCAUCUAGCCAUCGGAUAUGGUUUGGAUGUUUGGCCCCUCCAAAUCUCACGUUGAAAUUUGAUCCCCAGUGUUGGAGGGGGGCCUGGUAUGUGUUUGAGCCAGUGCCACAGAUCCUUCAUGAAUCGCCUGGUGCCCUCCAGAUAAUAAUGAGCGUUGUGUAACAAGAGAGUGCCCGAGGGAAUGACUGAAUCCGGAAGGACAGCAGCACAGACAGUGUUGUGCUCCCUCCUGCCUGGAACCCAGCCUGGACUGCUUGUGCUGCCCAUUUGGCCUGGAAUAAGCAAGAGGAGAGGCAGACCCAAAACACUCCUUUUGGCUGGUAUGCUGCAAAUAUCAUUGGUGUUUCUUUUUUUUUUUCUUUUUUUUUACUUGUUAGUCAUUUGCUAAGCUAGGAAAUUAAUCUUUGUAGCAAAUCCUACUAGAUGGUUCCAAAGGGAGAUAUCAGCUGCCAACUUCCCUGGCCAACUACCUCUUGGACUCCUUCACAAAAAGAAACUUUGCUUCAGAGACAACCAAAUGAUUUAAAAGCAAAGCUCCAACCUAACCCACGGCCAGGUGUGAUGUAGUCACACUAGGCAAUUUCAUCCCAUUAGCUGAAGUAACCCAUGUGACAGCCAGGCACUACUAGAUGUGAAGAGGCCAAAUGAGGGAUCCACAACUUCUGUGCUCACACAAUCUGUAAUGGCAAACCAAGAUUCAUGGUGCAAUGACAGGAGGGGCCCAGGACGCUGCUCCAAGAAGCUUAUGAGGGGGCUCCUUGUUCCAGGAGAGGCCCCAGGAAGGUGUCUUGAAGAUGACAAGCAGAACUUACCAGGGGAAGGAAGGCAAGUGUGUGAGGGGUCACUCACUGGGUGGGGGGUGAAGAGGGCUCGUAAGAAAGGCCACGGCAGAGGGAGUGUGAGCGUAGGAUGGGUGUGGAGGCCCAUGGGAGAGGGCAGAAGAGCCGACAGGUGAGGGGAGACGGCAGGGCCAGGCAGGGGGAAGGUGCUCCAUGGCCAUAGGAGGGAGCUUGAGUUUUAUCCAGUACAGAAGACACUGGAGGGGCCACAGGAGGGUCCCAGUGGGAAAGUGGGACUUCCGAUUUCAUUUCAAGUAGAGGGCUGAUGACUCCUGGAGAACAGAUUUGAAGAGAGCCAGGCUGGCUGGACUGGGUGUGGGGAUGGUGAGGGUCCAGGAGAGAUGACAGGGAGGAAGCUUUGAGUGAUUUCAGUUUAGCAGGUAAAAUCAGCAGGAUGUGGUAAUUGGUGGGAUGGGGGGAUAAAAGAGCGUGUAGGAUGUGCCCCAUCUAAGCACAUUCCACACGUGAAUUCAUUUACUCCCACCAUGACCCUCUGAAGUAGAUACUGACACUUACACUCUGAGGGUAUUCACGUCCAGGAAAUUUAAGUAAUUGCCCAUGUGCCUGGUAAGUGGAGGGGCUGGGAUUUGAACCCAGGGCAGUUAGGCAACUGUCCACCCUUCAGUGAGUUCACUCCUGCCCCUCCUGUGAGGCACUCAGCAUUGGUCCCUGGGUGGAUUCAGAGGGCACAGCGAUGCACAGGCCUGGGGGGCACAAGCAAGGGCUGGGUGAGGCCCACUGAGUUUGCAGUGCCGUGGGAUGCUCGAGCAGGGGUGUGGAGCAGGCAGGGCUGACCUGAGAUGAGGAGAUACCAGGUCUUGGAGACUGAGAAGAGGCCCAGGGACGGGAACCAAGUUCCACCCAUCUUUAAGGGGUGUCCCAGAAAGACAAGCUCAGGAAAAUGGUGACCUGCCACAGGGUCACCACACAAAGGGACUCUGUGGUCACAGUCAGUGAGUCAGAACGCAGAGGGCACCAGCAUGUACAUCCUGUGAGACCCAGGCGCCAGGUGCCCACUGCUGAGACACUGCAGCUGGCACCCAGCCAUGGGAAGCAUCCUCAGAUGCCACAGGCCCCGUGGAAUGAGGCUAAGCAGCUCACCCCAAGCAUAGGCACCUAUGGCCACAGACAGAAAGCAGGAAUCCCACCUGGCAGGAUGCCACUCAGGCAGGGCUGCGACCGUGUGGCUGCAGGACCCUCAGGGCCUGAAGAGGCAUCCGAGGCCCAAGGGGUGUGAGGAAGGCAGGAGGGGAGGGCCACGCCACCUCUGGAGAGGAUGGAUGGGGAACACCCUGGCUGGCUCCUCGCGGCUGCCCCUAGUGCUGCUCUCCCUGAAGCCCCCAAGAGACAGCCCUCUCCUCACCAAGCUGCACUGCCCAGCACUGAGCAGCCAGUGGCCCCAUCGUUUCCGAGGGCAAGCAGGCUCCCAAAGACAUCAGGCUCUGUCCUCUUCUUGGCUGAGAGCAAGAGAAUAUGAGUAGUAUGAGGUGGGGCAGGGUGGGCUCCAUGAAGCCCAGCAGGUCCCCCUGUUUCUCGCCCAUGGAGGCAGCUGGGGAAGGAAUGGGGUAAAACCUCCCCUUGAGCCAUGCCUGCCGGCCGACUUGUUACUGGCAGACGCCAGACAGGCAUAGUAAGAGCCACGUGGCAAGGUCCACGUCUGACUCAAGCCCCAUAAACGGCCAGGGCCUAGCCAGUAGGGCUGCCAGGUUUAAUAUAAACAGAAGACACCCCACUACAUUUGAAUUGCAGGGAACCAAUGCAUGAUUUUUAGUUUAAGUAUGCUAUACAUAGACUGAAGCAUUAUGUGUCGAUUACCUGCAAUUCAAAUAUAACUGGGUGUCUGCAUUUUACCUGGCAACCCUACUGGCAAGGUGUCCCGCAGUUGCUGAAUAUAAACACAUGCACACUGAAAGAGCUAUGCUCGCUCAUGUCUGUUACCUGCCUUUUCACUGCAAAGUGAAGUCUGGCUACUCAUGUUUUUGUCACAUGAAAUGGGAGGAGAAGCAGGGGCAGCUGACCUUGGCUGGUGGCCUGUUUCUCCUGCUAAUCUAACUCCAGACCCUACACCUAAAGCUCUGGACUCCCCUUUUGCUGGGGCAGGACUGAAUGCAUUGAAUAAACACCUACCCAGUCAAACCUCCAGUUACCCAGACCCUGGACUUUGAAGCCAGGUGACUAGCAGCUUAUGUCCAUGGGAAAUUGGGAGAUGGGACCUAUAACCAAGGCUUGAUCACUUUAGUAGACAGAGAAAAAAAAAAAAAAGGCAAAUAAAAGGUGUGUAAGGAGAGGUAGUUAGCAUAAAAUUUUCUGAUUAUACAACUAACUUUAUGAAGCUGUUUUCUCACAAGCUGGAGGAGAAGCAGCAGGGACAAGAAACCAGAAAGAAACAAGAAACCCAGAAUAUGUCACAGAAAAUGCCAAUUUCUCCCUGGACUUGUUUUAAAAUGGAGAUAACUUCUUCCCCCCACUGCCUUCCUGGGGAUUCUUAUGACCAGAUUUUCCACAGGUUAACUCCCGGAUGUGAGGGUAGCUGGAACAGAGGGAAAGAAAGAAGUGGAAGGAAGGGUAGAAGCCACAAAGCUAUGUGAGCACACUGAGCUAGGCCAGAGACCAUAAGGGCAUGGAGGAGGGAAAUAGCUAAAAAAAUGAUGGUUGUUUUCUUACGAGAACCAAGGAAUCAAAAAGUCAGUAGAAUGACAUCUUUAAAGUGCUCAAAGAAAAAUAAACUAUUAACACAGAAUUCUAUAUUUAUUGGCAAUGUCUUUUAAAGAAAAAAAAGGAGAAAUAAAGACUUUCUCAAAAAAAAAACUGGGAGGGAUUCAUUGCUAGCAGAUCUAUUCCACAAAAAAUGUUAAAUAUGUACAAAUAUGAUAUCAGUUAGAAACCUGGAUCUACACGAAGAAAUUAACAGUGUUGGAAAUGGAAUGAACUGAGGUAAAAUAAAAUUCAGUUUUUCUUAUG